UGAUGAUGGAGGAGCUUUAUGUGGACCACUGUCCGGUUCGAAGUGGAGCGAAGCAAAUAAAGGAAGGAGGUACUGCGGAAAGAAGGGCAAGUCUUGGAAUGACAGUUCAGUAUUUGGGACUAGGGAUGCGGACUAGUAACGGAACUUAUUUAAAUUAAGGAGUUUUAAAAACUUGCCAGAACUUGGAGAAUUCUUAUUAGAAUUAGAGAUUGGAAUUUGGAUGAAAAUUGUAUAUAUAAAAUAUAUUAUUAUUAUUAUUAUAUUAUUAUUAUUAACUCUUGAAAGUUUAGUCCUUUUUUUCAAAUAUACUUACGCUGUUUUGUUCAUCGGUUUCAUUCAAUUAUUAUUACGAAUUAUUAUUAUUUUGUUUACAAAAUAUAUAUACAUCUAUACAUAUAUGCACCAUCCAAACGUCUCGACGGAAGUGGCAAAUGUCUUUGUCCUUCUUUUGUAAAUAUAUAAUAUAUAAUAUA